rnacentral:lncRNA from 1 species
CUCACCGAGGCCCACCUCCGGUGCCCCUCUUCUGGUAUAUAAGUCAUUUUUACCUAGAAGAAAGGAAGAGAGGACUUUCUGGACGAAGCGCCGCCUUCUCGAGGUGGAAGUUGGGCAGGAGCACUUUUGCCCUCUGGCGGAGUGAUUCCGCCGGGGGAACUUCCCUCCCGGAGUGGGAAGUCUUCGUCAUCAUCAUCACCAAGAACUCUCCCAUCUUAGGGAGGGAUAUCUUCAUCAACAUCUUCAACAACACCAAAUCCUCUCAAACCCUAGUUCAUCUCUUGUGUUCAAUCUUUGUACCGAAAAUAUAGAUUGGUGCUUGUGGGUGACUAGUAGUGUUGAUUACAUCUUGUAGUUGAUUACUAUAUGGUUUAUUUGGUGGAAGAUUAUAUGUUCAGAUCCAUUAUGCUAUUUAAUACCCCUCUGAUCUUGAGCAUGAUUAUAAUUUGCGAAUAGUUACUAUUGUUCUUGAGGUCACGGGAGAAAUCAUGUUGUAAGUAAUCAUGUGAACUGGAUAUGUGUUCGAUAUUUUGAUGAUAUGUAUGUUGUGAUUCCCUUAGUGGUGUCAUGUGAACGUUGACUACAUGACACUUCACCAUAUUUGGGCCUAAGGGAAUGCAUUU